GUGUGGAAAGAGGAGCAUGUUCGUGGAGCUCGACGAAUCGGUGAGUGGUAAUGUUUCUUUUGGUGAUGAAUCCAAAAUACCAGUGAAAGGCAAAGGUAAUAUCCUAAUCUGCUUGAAGAAUGGAAAUCACCAAUUUAUCUCAAAUGUUUACUAUGUGCCCAACAUGAAAAAUAAUAUAUUGAGUUUGGGGCAACUCUAGAGAAGGGCUAUGACAUUCACAUGAAAGAUCAUAAUCUUUCCAUAAGAGAUAAUAAAAAUAAUUUAAUCACUAAAGUGCCUAUGUCCAAAAAUAGAAUGUUCUUGUUGAACAUUCAAAAUGAUGUUGCAAAGUGUCUUAAAGCUUGCUACAAAGAUGUAUCUUGGCUUCAUUCAAAAUGAUGUUGCAAAGUGUCUUAAAGCUUGUUACAAAGAUGUAUCUUGGCUUUGGCAUCUUCGAUUUGGGCACUUUAAUUUUGGAGGCUUGGAGCUACUAUCCAAAAAGGACAUGGUGCGAGGACUACCUUCCAUUAGCCACCCUGAUCAAUUGUGCGAAGGAUUCCUACUCGGAAAGCAAUUUUGGAAGAGUUUUCCUAAGGAGUCAAGCUCGAGAGCCCAAAAGCCAUUGGAGCUCAUACAUACCAACAUAUGUGGUCCUAUCAAGCCAAGCUCCCUCGGUAAAAGUAACUAUUUCCUUCUAUUUAUUGAUGAUUUUUCUAGAAAGACAUGGGUGUAUUUCUUGAAGCAAAAAUCGGAGGCAUUUGAAGUAUUCAAGAAAUUCAAAGCGGCAGUGGAGAAAGAAAGUGGACUACACAUAAAGGCCAUGAGAUUCGAUCGUGGAGGCGAGUUCACUUCUAGAGAGUUCCAGAAUUUU
rnacentral:lncRNA from 1 species